GACGUACGCUGGCGGCGUGCUUAACACAUGCAAGUCGAACGAAGAGCGAUGGAAGCUUGCUUCUAUCAAUCUUAGUGGCGAACGGGUGAGUAACGCGUAAUCAACCUGCCCUUCAGAGGGGGACAACAGUUGGAAACGACUGCUAAUACCGCAUACGAUCUAACCUCGGCAUCGAGGAUAGAUGAAAGGUGGCCUCUACAUGUAAGCUAUCACUGAAGGAGGGGAUUGCGUCUGAUUAGCUAGUUGGAGGGGUAACGGCCCACCAAGGCGAUGAUCAGUAGCCGGUCUGAGAGGAUGAACGGCCACAGUGGGACUGAGACACGGCCCAGACUCCUACGGGAGGCAGCAGUGGGGAAUCUUCCGCAAUGGACGAAAGUCUGACGGAGCAACGCCGCGUGAGUGAUGACGGCCUUCGGGUUGUAAAGCUCUGUUAAUCGGGACGAAAGGCCUUCUUGCGAAUAGUUAGAAGGAUUGACGGUACCGGAAUAGAAAGCCACGGCUAACUACGUG
rnacentral:rRNA from 1 species